UCUUCUGUCUCUCAAAAAUUAAAUAAAUGUUAAGAUUUUUUAAAGUAUAAAUAAUCGGAGCCCUACUCCCCAAAGAAUUGUAUUUUUUAUUGUUUUCAGACAUUUAAAUCACCAAUUCUACUUGUAAAAGCUUAUUCAAAUGUCUUUUUAAGAUACGCUUUCCUUCAAGGGUCAUGUAAAUGAUGUAAAUGUUAUCAACUCAUUGAUAUAUUAUCCACUCAUUGAUAACAACCAUCUGGAUUGCAUUCGCUGAUUUAUUUGGCCACCAUUAAUUUGAAAUGCUUAUUUAUUGGGUCUGACGUUACUAAAGGUUGAUCCUUGGGUAAAUGAUUGUAGCACAAACAAGGUCAGGGGCCAAACAAUGCUCAUUGCAGGAGCAGUACCUCAUUGGAGAAACUCACUGCCCCAGAUCACUUGCAGACAUACAUACAUGUCUCCUGGUACCCUCAUUGAGUAUGGGGCAGUGACCUAGGUAGGAUUUGGCAGGGCCUGACUUCUGACUUUGCAGGAGAGCUUCUGACCCUUGGGAUGUGGAUCUUUGAUACUAUAUGACUAGACUGAGAUGUGAUCAAGGACCAGGAUAUGAUAGUAAAAUGAAGAGCAGAAACUUAGUGCUGACCUUCUGCAGUCGGCUUAGUCCUGUGAUGAGGAUGGAAGGGAGACACAAGCCCCUGCUCUGGCAUUAUCAAGAAGUUGGAUUGCAAGACUUGUAAUUGCAACUGGAUCACAUGAGUUAGCAGCAUGGUCAGCCAUGUUGGAAUUCUUGGUUGGUGAAGCAUAGACGCCUCCAUUGGCAAGACUGAGGGUGGAGGGGAAGAGGGGUUGCGUUUCAGGCCUUAACUGUUACCAAGCUGUUACCAAGCAUUGAUUGGCUUGCACACUAACCAUUGUGGGUUUCUCACAGAGCACUGCAGAAGGAAAACUCCUUUCAGGAGAGGCCAGGCUUCAGGGGUCAGUCUUGGACAAAUUAACCCUUCUCUCUCAAUUAUUAGCUUACCAGUUCCUAAAUUUCCUCUCUUAAAAAAUGGCACCCUUUUCUAUAAUUGUUGGAAGGAGUAAGUGAGGUGAUACAUUUAACACCAUUGGCACAGUUCUUGGCAGACAAUAAGAACUCGUAUUUUAUUAUCAUUUUUCUGUGAACGUUUAUACAACAUUAGUGACAACUUGCUUAGAGUAAGAUUUUCUUCAAGCACCAACUAGACUAUAGUGAUCUGCUCCUUUCUAUCUCUGGAGGACCAAUUUUCUGAGUAGUUUGUUUAGGUUCUUAUUACUGUGUUCUCUUUCUCUAUUGGUUUCUUGUAUAUGUUCUGGCUUCUUUUUUUAAUUUUUUAUUUUUAAUUUUUUAAUUUUUUUUUCUGGCUUCUUAACAAGAUUGAAAAUUCAUAUCUCAUAUUUCUGGUGUGCCCCAUUGCCCUGGCUCCAAUUCUUGGUCUAGACCAAAGAGCAAAGAAACUCAACAAAUAUGGAUUAAUUAUUAAGAUAGUCAUAAGUACUUUAAAUAGAUUCCUUGAAGCAAAGCCAGUGAGAAUUCUACUAUACCAUUUUGGUAUUUCUCAUUUUGGUUUUAAAAUAUGGUUUAUAAUUCAUUUGGGUUUUAGCUCAUAUAGUUACACCUGAUUUGUAACAUUUCCACUAAUAUCUUUCUCAUUAUAAAUAGAGUAUUAUAUUUAAUGUUUUUCCACGGAUGUACUUAACUCACCAAACUUAACAGAUUCAUAUCAACAGUCUCCCCUGCCUUAUGCCUUCCUCAAGGCAUCUAGAAACUGAAAUAUGCUGGGUUCAGCACUUUCCCUUUACCUGUAUGGAGGGAUGUUGUCAAUUCACACCAGUGACUCCUCCACAGUCUUACUACCCAGGAUGCCAUUCUUCUCUUCCCAGCCCUCAAUCCAGGAGGUAUCCACACUUUCUGAGUAUGGCUUUUCUAGGCCUCUAUACCCUAACCUACCCGUGCAGAUAUGCAACGUCCAGCCCUUCAUUCAGCUAACCGGUCUAUAAGCUGAUCUCUCCUAGCAUGUAGUCUAGAGGAGCUGAUUUACCUUUUGAAAAUUUGCCAAAUACUUUUCGUAUGCAUAGCUGCUCAUGUCCUCUGUCUUCUAAAUAAGAGUAGUAAUUCUGUAAGAGAUCUACUUCCAGAAUCUCGAUUCUGCCACAUUAGCUUAAUGGCCGAAUCAGAAAAUUUACAAAUUACCUAAUUUUCCUGCAGCUCAAAGUCUUUGUCACUAAAUUUUGUAUUAGUACUUACCUCACUUCUCCUAUCUGGAAAUAAAGUGACAGCAUGAAACAUGCAUAGGGAUCUCUUUGCCCAGGUAUUUCAAAAUUCAUACUUACAUGUUCUCCCUCAGACCUCUACCCACUAAAAUUGUUCAUAUCUUACCCAGUGCAAAAUAUACUACUGUGCUUGGAGAGAACAUGCUCUUCCUUUAAAGCUUUUAUCUUACUCCAGGCAUUAUCCUAUUCCUGGCUAAUUAUUUUCGUUUGUAUAAAAUCCUUAUAUGUUCUAAUGUUUCUCUAUUUACUCUGCUGACCCUCUGUUGGUUAGGGUUGGAGAAACAUUUAGCAAACAAAAUUUAAAUGAAAAGAAAGAUGGUGUGUAUGUUGUAUAUGGGGGAUGUGGUUUGCAGGAAGAGAAAGCCAACACAAUAUGGACAUCAUGGAAGAUAGAGAAUGUAUACAUACGUAUUUGUCAGCAGGAGCUGUAGAUACAGGUGGAAGUAGACAGUGAUAGGAAGAAAGAUGUACUUAAGGUGACCAACAGACCCAGUUGGCCUGAGAUUGAGGGGUUUCUUGGGCCAGGAGACACUCAGUGUCAAGUGUGAUGAGUUGGUUCCCUUAGGUGCAAUGGAGAUACAGUGAGACAAAUUCAGUAACAAGAAACUGAAUCAUAAGGCAAUGAGCUGGUUGUUUUGGAGGGUGGAUUCAGAAAUUCAAACCACUGGUUGUUGAUACUUAAGGGAAAAAUUAUGAUAAAUCCUGUAAGGAUGGAAGCUAGAAUCAUUUUCCAUAAAAAGGAACUCAGAUGAAAGGGAGUCUCUCCUGACUGAUUUGUGGUCAAAGAAUUAUUCUCAUCUGAACAUGAGGAGCAGCCUCGUGCUACAGUGCUAGGAUGAUCAGGUUCAAGCCAGGUACGUGAGGACCCAAGGGGUUAAUCCUCAAUCCUUUGUGAGGCAGCCCCAAGGACAACUGCAAAUGGGUCGACAUGUUUGAACAGGCCACGGGUGCUAUUCCUCCGGACUUCUGGUGCUCUUGAUGAGAAGCAGCUAAAUUAGCAUGUCUCCUUGGCCCCAUCCUUGAUUUUGAUUUCUUCAUUUACCUUGGGUAUUAUCACUAGAUCAGACCUUGCUAUAGUCAUUAACUUCUUAAUAUAAAACUGUUUUGGAUAAAAUAGGAAAUUCCUCCAGAGCAGAAUUUUGAUCUUGCAAUCCUAAGACACAGAGAGAGAGUGGUAUCUUACGAAUAUGAAGUCUGGUUUUAACAAUCUUAAAUCCUUUGGAGUGGGAUAAGUUUCAGCUCUGUUUAUUUUUUCCAUAAAUGUUAUGGUAAUUUUUAAAAGGAUUUUCAAAGUAUGUGGUGAUAUCAUCAAGUGAACAAUCUAGAAAGCCUAACAUUAAAACCCAUUGAAUGAUCUUGAAUUAUCAUUAGUGUUGGAGGCAGGCCUGCAAUCUGUUUGAAAUGCUCUCAUUUGCAGCUAUUUCCAAUACACAUUUUAUUUUUUUUUCAAUAUUAAAAAGCUAGUGGUACAGGGGAAAUCCAGAUUCUUUUCUCUAAAUCACUGGCCUCAUGACAGGCUAUAUUAGACAUGCCCUGUGGUGAGGGGAUUAAAAUAUUACUAGCUUUGUUUUGAAACUGUGACACCAAGUGUGUUUUUGGAAUCUUUCUGAGGUGGUUUGGGCCCUUGACUUGCCUGGUAACCACAGCUUCUGGACUAAUCCAACUCACAGUUUGGGAAUUUCCAAAGUGACUUAACAGGGGCCUUGGUUUAUAUAUAUUAAUGCUGUCUGUUCCACUUCACAAGUGAGCAGACCCUUCCUUUAAUCAGCAGGUGGGGGAACUUUUUACACUUUGCCUCCAGACAGCAAAUUUGGAGGGAAUCUUUUAGACCAGAACUUCUCCAGUGCUAAUGUGCAUACCAAUCACAGAAAUCUUCCGGAAAACUUGUGGAAUAAUUAAGUCUGGGGUGAGGCAUUUCCAUCCAGGUGAUGCCGAUGCUACUAAUCUACAAACCAUACUCCACACAGCAAGAUCUUAGAAAUCAAGUGUGCGUGGGGUAGGGGAGUGUACCAUGUGCUUUCAGGACAGUCAGAAUUUAUGAGUCUUGGUUGUCCUUGGGGGUCAGUGCAACAGUGUCAGAGUAAACAUCUUCAGCUAUUAUAAGCUCACCUGAAUUUAUGUAUUAUGAUAACCCCUCUGGAGAUAAUUUUCUUUGUGACACUUACAGUUCUCUGUCCAAGUUGGCCUGUAUCUCUUCUAGGAGGUGUUGCACACUUGAUUUAUUCAGUUAUGUCUGCUGUCCUUGCUUACCAGGACACGGAGAAUUGAUGAUUCUUGCCAAGGAGUGACACUUGGGCUUUCUACUAUCCUACCUAAAGAUGAAGGGCAGGCAGAAAACAUAAUGCUUCCUCAGGUUAAAGGAAACUGAUAACUCUUAUUCAAGGAAACUCUAAUUCAAAAGCAAUGAACACUCAGAUAAAUAUAGUUAUCACUGUGAAGAGAAAGUAAGAUAAAAAUUAAAAAUUAAAAAUGUGGGAAGAGUAUAUUCAAAGACAAAGCUGCGGAGUUGAAGACAGUGGUUCUGUUUCCUUUUUAUUUUACCUGGCCUUAUAAAAUAGAAGGCCACAGAGAAUUACUACCCUUGACAAUAGGCACAGAGUCUUAGGUAGGGCCAAAGAAUUGAGUUGUAACAUUGUUGGCUCAGAAGCAGAGGACUUCAGUUGUAAAGUACUAGAAUUUACACAUAUUAAUCUCACUGUAUACUGUGUGGAGAGGGUGUGUUUCUGAAGAGCUGAGUACAGACUGAACUUUGUCCAGUUUCUUUAAAACACAUGAUCAUUUUAGAAAUUAUUUCUAUUUUUUCAGGAAUUUAGUUCACAGUUAUUGUCAACAACUGAGACCUGUCAAAUACUACUAAAUCUAAAGGAAUUCUUGAGUGUGAGCCUUCACCCUUUCCUAAUCCACUGCGGAGCCCUGGGAUAAGCCGUUUGAACACUCUGAUCAUCAUUUUGUUUUACAUUCUGGAGUUUUUGCUGCGAGUGGCCAAACCUGGUCUGUGUGGGAACCCCGGAGCCCCAGUUACAUUACAGACUUCCAAGUAUACAAGUUUAGCUCUUAUAGAUUCUCCAAAUAUUAGUCUCACCUUUUUUGGAAACAGAAACAUGAUACAUACAAAAAGGAAGAUGAUGACAUCUGAAUGAACCAACCUGAAUGAAAGAGGAUGGAAAGGCAUGAUUAGUAUUUGAAAGGAAAAAGACAUGGUGAACAUUAUUCCACAAUGUGCUUCUGAAUCCAAAAUAUUAUGUCUAUGGGGGAGAAAUUGAUGGUGGUAAAGGAUAUUCUCAUGUAAGCAUUUUAAUUAUUUCACACCAACUCAAUAUUACUAACCUCAACAGUCUGUAUUUUCCUAACAAUUCUAUCUUAAAAAGUCAGUGUUUCAGUAAGAACAUGGGACGGAAUACUCCCAAAGUGUAGAUGUUUCUGAAAUAAUAUUUAUAAAAUACUCCUCUCAUUGUUAUGUGGCCAUUAGUUAACAUAUCUUGAUAGGACCACCAACUUAAUGGCUUAUUCCCAUAGGAACGUUUGACUUAAAAAAUUUUUUUUGUUCUUUUUUCUUUAACUUGUCUUAAACAUUUGACUUCAUAUUACUCUAUUGCAAGUUUAUUACCUAAAGAAAACUUAAAAUAUCUAUUAUCUGAUCAUAUCAUUUAACUAAAUUAAAGUGUAAAAAGUUACAUAAAAAUUGCCCAAGAAGAUACAAAAUUCUCAUUUACAAACAUCAUGUAACGGGAUGAUAUUUUAAAUUUGUGAGUAGAAGACUUUUAUUUAUGUCUGAAAACUAGGACAGGAAAUGAUAUAAAUUGAUAGUUAUGUAAUCUCAGAGCCCACACCAACUAAGUUUUUUGGUUAACGUUGCCUUUGUGGUUGAAGUGGCAGAGAAACCCUUCACGUUUCUGACAGAAAAAUAAUGCUUUUUUUCCUCUCUAGUCUUCAGAAAUUAUUUUGCCAUGAUUUGUAGAAGAAUAAACCUCCAUUAUCAUCACUGGAGUGUUUUUCUAUUUUAAGGCUCAUCUUAAAAUGUUUUUUUUUCUCCCCAAGGGAGAAAAGAGGAGGGAAAAUAUUAGUCUCUAAAUUUUUUUUUA